rnacentral:rRNA from 1 species
UACAGAGGUCUCAAGCGUUGUUCGGAUUCAUUGGGCGUAAAGGGUGCGUAGGCGGCGCGGUAAGUCGGGUGUGAAAUCUCGGAGCUUAACUCCGAAACUGCAUUCGAUACUGCCUUGCUAGAGUACUGGAGAGGAAACUGGAAUUUACGGUGUAGCAGUGAAAUGCGUAGAGAUCGUAAGGAAGACCAGUGGCGAAGGCGAGUUUCUGGACAGUUACUGACGCUGAGGCACGAAGGCCAGGGGAGCAAACGGG